CAGGAACACAAAAUUGGAAACCUACAUUUUCACAUCACUGUCAGGUGCUUUUCAUUCUAAACGGCUUUUCUUAUUUUCCAUCGGUUCCGCCUAGAACAUUCACUAACUAUCAAAUUGUUAUACUAACUUAUUAGUUCUAAUGGAACCUAUACUUUCGACUGAACCUAUUAAUAUUCUAUGGAUCAUCUUGAAAGUGAGAGACACAAAGUGUAUAGGAUUAAGAUGUUGGAUAUGUUCUGUCAGAGUUUCUUAAAGGGUAAAGGUUUAUUUGAAUAAUAUUGAGUAUUUGAAUGAUGAGAGGUGCCUCUUGGCAUUGGGGUUCGGUGUUUGUCUUCUUUAUAGGUUAAGGUUUCAUAAUUCAUACCGUGUAUUUCAUAAUUUACUGAAAGGAAGUUGAUUGUUUGUAUUGUUAGUUAUGGUCAACACUAUUAGAGUGUUU
rnacentral:lncRNA from 1 species